rnacentral:rRNA from 1 species
GAUCCUGGCUCAGGAUGAACGCUGACAGAAUGCUUAACACAUGCAAGUCUACUUGAACUUCGGUUUGGGUGGCGGACGGGUGAGUAACGCGUAAAGAACUUGCCUCACAGACUGGGACAACAUCUGGAAACGGAUGCUAAUACCGGAUAUUAUAAUUUUAGUGCAUGCUAGAAUUAUGAAAGCUAUAUGCGCUGUGAGAGAGCUUUGCGUCCCAUUAGCUAGUUGGAG